rnacentral:lncRNA from 1 species
UAUUGGUGUCAAAACAGAGUGUUACACUAAACGAAAGGAUGUUACACGAAAUAAAGUAUUGUACCACAAGACGUUAAAAUUUUCACACACCAGUAAUACCGUAACAUCCCAAUAAGAUACGCACACUUGACGAUACAAACAUUGACACUAAGUUUUUUAUCCAACAUCUGACGUGAGACGUGAACCAAGUUACUCUCUCUUGGAACAAAGUUACCACCUGCAGGCCGCAACUAAUAAAAUGUAUGGUCGCCUUGCCCUUUACCAUGUUGUGCUUUGGUCAUUUAAGGAUCCAUUUUUUCCGUAAAAGACCUAAUAACCUUUGUUACUUGGCACCAAUAAGUUUAUUGUAAAUAUCAUCAGUACAAUAAAUGAAGGAUGGGCAAUAUCAUCCGUAUAAAUUAUACACACUUUGAGCUAUAUUCAAUCCCACCCCCAUAUGUCAAUGAUGACCAAUCAACACAUGCCAUAAUAAACUCCUCUUUGAGCUAUUGUAACAUCUAAUCUGUUUUUUUUAAACAGCGGAACUUUUCAAUUUACUCAUAUGACCCGUUAAGGAUAACAUAACCUAAAUUAAUAAGUCCACAGGUAAAUGCAUCAAAACUUUUAAAAUAUUUAAUCUACCCAUUAUUGUUCCAUUAGUUUAGUCAAGAUACAUUCUGUUAAUCAAUCCACACAUAAGACCAUGUGUACUCGUGAGCAAGGUUAAUCU